UAGCAUGGCAAACACGUGAAAAUCUACAUGGUUUUUCAGAAAUACGGUUUUAACAGUUUCGAAUCGCGUUUCAUAUGCUAAUUUAAGCAAAAACUCCGUUUCAAAAAUAAAUCAAAUAUUUUCGGUAGGGGCCGCAUAGUGUGACUUGACUAGCAGCAAUCGAGUACCAUCGUGGUGUGUAUGUAGUAAUCGUCACAGGAGUAGUCGGAAACAUCGGGUAUCCCCCACCCGAAGUUUCUUCAGUAACCUGACCCAGAAGAAUCUGUACCUAGCGGAGGUUUCUUCCAGCUUAAAUGUUCUCACAUUUCACGUGAUAUACCAUCAUAUUGUGCGUAUACCACGGGAGUAUACUCACGAAUAUCACAAUAUUGGAUGGGGGACCAUCCUCACAGAAAUGAUCACAGACAUUCUCGCAUCUGUUUCCAGUCCUAGGCCAUCUGGACGAUCAAGAAGUCUAGCCAGCUCUGCGACGCCUCCUACAGCACACAUGCAACGCGAUGGGACUAAAUUGCGUAUUCAAGCCGGCUUAGGAAUGGAAUGUGCAAUUACAGGUGCUUUGCGCGCAGAUCUCGCCACCAGCCUUACCUUUAACUGCACAUUCCAUUCGCCUCUUGUACUAUACAAUUGUGGGAUUUCCCGCAACUGCUUAGUCACCAGCUUUCCCUACCUUGCCUUAAAAUGAGUUAUCAACCCUUUUAUACAGUGAAUUUUGAUGGUAAAACACCAUUGGCGACCAGAUGAGUGAUUGGUGGAUUUAACUGUUUUUUUACGUAACCUCAGAUCACAAACUUGAAAACGAAAAAGUGAACUAUAUUCGGAAACUUUCAUUCUUCUUAUCUGUCAACAUUCAAAGAUGAUACGCUAAUUAAUAGAUUUAUAAAAAGAGUUAUGCUAUUCACCUAUUUGCCUCCUAACCUACGUCUACGCAGGAUUCAGCCUCCUCGGCUGAUUGGCAGGCAGAUGAUGAGUGGUACAGUAGGUGUGGUUAACAUUUCUAAAACGUAACUUUUGAUCAACAAUUCAUAAGCGAAGAAGUGAAGCAGAGAACUAAAUAAUUUAACUUUGAUUCUCUUUAUAUGUCAACGUCAAAAAACAGUAUUCUAUAAAGAGUUGUGCCAUUGACCUAUUGGGGACUAGGUAAGGCGAGGUGAGCGAUUGCUUCGGAGUAUACGCCCUGCGGCCGAUAUUGGAACUAAAAUGCCUUUGUACAUGAACCAAUCGGGCACACACAAAAAACGGACAAGAAGCAUAUUGCAGUAUAAUAAUUUAUUUCAUUCUUCACUUUUUUAGGAAAGUUGUUAGGAUGUGUCUGAACAAUGUUUCAAAAAAAUCGCGGCGUUAAUAUUUUUCUAAAAACAUUAUAUCUUUCCUGAAACUUGCUUCCUGAAAACGAAUUUACGAAGAAAAAGGAACACGCCGGUAGAUUGACAUGGAACAUUUUCGAUGAAAGAAUUAAAAAUGGUUCAAACUAGAAAUGGUUACCGUAACGAGACAUCAUCGAGAAGGACGUCAGUAAGCAUACCAGAACAUAAAUUGAAAGAGUCUGCGAUGUCCCCGCCCCGAUCAAUCCAACCAAUAUCAUCGGAAGUUAAUUUGGAUGAAGCCAAUCAAAUUGCGAUCAUCCUUUUCUUUUGUUUAACGCACAUAGUCACACCAGCGCUUAAAGCAUUUCUAUGCGACAACGGCUUACUGUUACCCGCCACUAUUGACUAUGACUAUGCGAAAAUGUGCCACGUUUAGGAAAGCUAUCAACGCGCGCAACGAUAUAUGUCAUCUGAAAUAUCUAUCACUAAGCGAAUACUGGAAGCAGUACACCUCCGUCUGGAGGACAUUGUGUCUCAGUAUUGGCAACCCGGAGGCCGCCGUCAAAGUGCAAGUCAUCUACAACUUCUUGAUUAUGCGUGAAUAUAGAGGAGCAAUCGAGAACCAAGUUUUUCUCCUAACCAGUCAAGAUUAUAAUGUAAACGUAGGUUUUGGUCUUGGUUGCAUUUUGUUCGGUUGCCUCACCAAGUACGUGGCUCCGUCUCUGCGGAAUUUUCUAAUCGACGAGAAGAAUCAAUCUACAUCAACGGCUCUCGAUGCUUUUGAUAAUUUAAAACACGUGAUUUCAGAGCAAAAGUGUGAUUCUAAUUACCUCUCAAAGGGAGGAGAUAUCAGAAAUGAUAUUGCGCUUCUUAAGCUAUCUAUGAAGGCUAGGAAUAAUUCAUGUCAUGGAUUUUUUUCUUUAGUCUUUCAGUACUGGGAAAAUUAUUUGGAAGCCUGGAUACAGCUCAUGGAGAUAAUCAACGCUCGAACAGCAUCUGCAGAAAUGCAAGGUAUACUAGAAACUCUCAUGACUUCUAUGAACGAAAAUCAACAAAUACAUCUAGCAAACGUUCUUUCUUGGCUCACUAAUCCAGUGAUUCCGGAUAUCUUAACCGACACACUAUAAAUCCAGUUUGGUUGAUGCAACGCUUUUUGAUUUCGUGUUUAAUUUUUAAAUCGAUUUCAAUAAAAAGAAUUCACACAAA
rnacentral:misc_RNA from 1 species